CUGCAGUUUGGUCUCUCUUUAGUCUGGCUUCCUCUGAGACACCUCUGUCAUCGUUCGCCAAGGACAGCUUGGCCAGAAAGGCGUGUGUGUGGUGGAGCUGCUGGCUAAUGGUCUCUCAAGCAAUGCUCUGAUGAGCCGACUCCCCGCUCAGAAACAGCAGAUCAUCAGCGAGGUGGUGAACACUGUGGACCUCUGUAGCAAUGAAAGAAAUACACAUUUCCCUCAGGGGUCGGUGGAGACCAAAACCGAGCUGAAUAUUUUCUCUGCCACAGGACGUCCUGACUGAGCUUCUGACAACAGACGGGCUUACUCUAAUGAACAUGGAGGCCCUGCUUCGUGAGAGGUUAUUUCCCCAGUUCACUGAUGUUGCCAGCUGCGGAGAGAACAGUUAUAGCAACAAGUAAAGCCUCUCAAUGUGUUCGCAGAGAGUUAGA